UACGAAGGGGGCUAGCGUUGCUCGGAAUCACUGGGCGUAAAGGGUGCGUAGGCAGGUCUUUAAGUCAGGGGUGAAAUCCUGGAGCUCAACUCCAGAACUGCCUUUGAUACUGAAGAUCUUGAGUUCGGGAGAGGUGAGUGGAACUGCGAGUGUAGAGGUGAAAUUCGUAGAUAUUCGCAAGAACACCAGUGGCGAAGGCGGCUCACUGGCCCGAUACUGACGCUGAUGCACGAAAGCGUGGGGAGCAAACAGG
rnacentral:rRNA from 1 species